GAGAAUUUUGGGUCAAAAAGGGAAAGUUAAAGUUUGAACAUUUAUAUUUACGUUGUUUUUUUGUUUGAACAUACUUCAGCUUGUUUUGUGAAAGGACAACUCGUGCAAUUAGUAAUCAAAAUGAUUUUUGUGAAGGGAAAAAAUGGUUUCAUGAUUGCUUAAGUUUAUUGCAAUUACUUGUUCAUGAUGUUGUGAGAAGUAAAUGGCACUGUGAUUUUAUUGGAUUUCUCUGCAGGUAUAUUCGAGAAGAUAUGUUUGU
rnacentral:misc_RNA from 1 species